UGGGCUUCUGUGUGUGCAGCUGCCACCGCCGGAGGCCGGGGGAGGGGACCGGCCGGCCGCCCCCGGAGCCCCCUCCCUCGCAGCUGGGAUCCCCGAAAGGGAGCGGGCAGCUUGGCCCCCUCCCCGCAUCACCGGCACCCCCUACCCCUGGCCAGGACCCGGGCCACGCGGGCUUUGAUCCGCACCCCCACCCCCGCCCGCCUUCCCUUCUUUAAUCAGUAAGUUCUUGUCCCAGCCUCCGCUUCCCGACGUCCCCGAGUUCCUCUCGCUUUCCCCUAGUCCCAAACGUGACCAGAGUAGGGGAAUCCAUCCGGCCCGGGGCGACCACUUUGGAGCGCCCCGAGGAGCGGGACCCGCACCAGGCGCGCCCAGCGGGGGAUGCGGUGACCAGGGGCCGGGAGCACCGGGCAGCCCUUUCAGAUUCUGGACGCCCCCGCCCUGCGGAAGAAGGGACUGGCGAGGAUUUGGGGGACUUUUCUUUUGGGAUCCGGAGACCCGCUCUGAACCCCUCCCCUCUUUGCUGCCGCCAGUUGGGGGUGGGGGAGAAGCUUUCUCUGAAGCCCCUCUCACGUGGAAGGCAAGCCGAGAACUUGCUGUGCCUUCUAGGAAAUUACAAUCGAUUUGUAAUGCUCUUUCGCUAAUUGGGAGUUCAAAAUUAAACUUUAAUAAAGCA